rnacentral:rRNA from 1 species
UCAAGCAGAAUAUGAAAGCGUACGGCUCAACCGUAUACACGUAUCCUGAACUGUUAAACUAGAGGGCGAGAGAGGUUUCUAGAAUUUCUUGUGUAGGAGUGAAAUCCGUAGAUAUAAGAAGGAAUACCGAUGGCGUAGGCAGGAAACUGGCUCGCACCUGACACUAAGGCACGAAAGCGUGGGUAGCAAACGGGAUUAGAUACCCCGGUAGUCCACGCCGUAAACGAUGGAUGCUA